rnacentral:rRNA from 1 species
CGUAGGGGGCAAGCGUUGUCCGGAUUUAUUGGGCGUAAAGAGCGUGUAGGCGGCCAGACAGGUCCGUUGUGAAAACUCGAGGCUCAACCUCGAGAUGUCGAUGGAAACCGUCUGGCUAGAGUCCGGAAGAGGAGUGUGGAAUUCCUGGUGUAGCGGUGAAAUGCGCAGAUAUCAGGAAGAACACCUAUGGCGAAGGCAGCACUCUGGGACGGUACUGACGCUGAGACGCGAAAGCGUGGGGAGCGAACAGG